GACGUAGGGCGCGAGCGUUGUCCGGAUUUAUUGGGCGUAAAGAGCUCGUAGGCGGCUUGUCGCGUCGACUGUGAAAACCCGCGGCUCAACCGUGUGGUCUGCAGUCGAUACGGGCAGGCUAGAGUUCGGUAGGGGAGACUGGAAUUCCUGGUGUAGCGGUGAGAUGCGCAGAUAUCAGGAGGAACACCGGUGGCGAAGGCGGCAUCCUGGGUCGGUAUUGACGCUGAGGAGCGAAAGCCAGGGGAGCAAACGGG
rnacentral:rRNA from 1 species